rnacentral:rRNA from 1 species
ACUUAAAUUGAAGAGUUUGAUCAUGGCUCAGAUUGAACGCUGGCGGCAGGCCUAACACAUGCAAGUCGAGCGGUAGCACAGAGAGCUUGCUCUCGGGUGACGAGCGGCGGACGGGUGAGUAAUGUCUGGGAAACUGCCUGAUGGAGGGGGAUAACUACUGGAAACGGUAGCUAAUACCGCAUAACGUCGCAAGACCAAAGUGGGGGACCUUCGGGCCUCAUGCCAUCAGAUGUGCCCAGAUGGGAUUAGCUAGUAGGUGGGGUAACGGCUCACCUAGGCGACGAUCCCUAGCUGGUCUGAGAGGAUGACCAGCCACACUGGAACUGAGACACGGUCCAGACUCCUACGGGAGGCAGCAGUGGGGAAUAUUGCACAAUGGGCGCAAGCCUGAUGCAGCCAUGCCGCGUGUGUGAAGAAGGCCUUCGGGUUGUAAAGCACUUUCAGCGGGGAGGAAGGCGGUGAGGUUAAUAACCUCACCGAUUGACGUUACCCGCAGAAGAAGCACCGGCUAACUCCGUGCCAGCAGCCGCGGUAAUACGGAGGGUGCAAGCGUUAAUCGGAAUUACUGGGCGUAAAGCGCACGCAGGCGGUCUGUCAAGUCGGAUGUGAAAUCCCCGGGCUUAACCUGGGAACUGCAUUCGAAACUGGCAGGCUAGAGUCUUGUAGAGGGGGGUAGAAUUCCAGGUGUAGCGGUGAAAUGCGUAGAGAUCUGGAGGAAUACCGGUGGCGAAGGCGGCCCCCUGGACAAAGACUGACGCUCAGGUGCGAAAGCGUGGGGAGCAAACAGGAUUAGAUACCCUGGUAGUCCACGCCGUAAACGAUGUCGAUUUGGAGGUUGUGCCCUUGAGGCGUGGCUUCCGGAGCUAACGCGUUAAAUCGACCGCCUGGGGAGUACGGCCGCAAGGUUAAAACUCAAAUGAAUUGACGGGGGCCCGCACAAGCGGUGGAGCAUGUGGUUUAAUUCGAUGCAACGCGAAGAACCUUACCUGGUCUUGACAUCCACAGAACUUUCCAGAGAUGGAUUGGUGCCUUCGGGAACUGUGAGACAGGUGCUGCAUGGCUGUCGUCAGCUCGUGUUGUGAAAUGUUGGGUUAAGUCCCGCAACGAGCGCAACCCUUAUCCUUUGUUGCCAGCGGUUCGGCCGGGAACUCAAAGGAGACUGCCAGUGAUAAACUGGAGGAAGGUGGGGAUGACGUCAAGUCAUCAUGGCCCUUACGACCAGGGCUACACACGUGCUACAAUGGCAUAUACAAAGAGAAGCGACCUCGCGAGAGCAAGCGGACCUCAUAAAGUAUGUCGUAGUCCGGAUUGGAGUCUGCAACUCGACUCCAUGAAGUCGGAAUCGCUAGUAAUCGUAGAUCAGAAUGCUACGGUGAAUACGUUCCCGGGCCUUGUACACACCGCCCGUCACACCAUGGGAGUGGGUUGCAAAAGAAGUAGGUAGCUUAACCUUCGGGAGGGCGCUUACCACUUUGUGAUUCAUGACUGGGGUGAAGUCGUAACAAGGUAACCGUAGGGGAACCUGCGGUUGGAUCACCUCCUUACCUUAAAGAA